rnacentral:misc_RNA from 1 species
AAACAAAUAGAAAAUUAUCUGCUCUAGCAAAGACAUUGAAUGUCAUUUAAUCGAGAGCAAAUUUCUAAUAAUUGCUUAUGCACUUCUGAUAUAAAUAUUACAAAAUUUAAGAACAAAAGUAAAGGCAAUUUCAUCGCAUUUUCUUUUACUAAACAAUAAUAGAAGAUGAACCAUUAGGAACAGAAUAGCAUGCUUUUCAAUUACAAUCCAGCAAUAAAUGGACCUAACUAUCAAGAGCACAAGUUCAACAACUUCAAUGUGGAACAUAUCUAUAUCACAAAAGAAUGACAGACAUUUAAUAA